rnacentral:rRNA from 1 species
GACGAACGCUGGCGGCGUGCUUAACACAUGCAAGUCGAACGGUGAAGCGCCUUCCUUUUUGGUGGGUGUGGAUGAGCGGCGAACGGGUGAGUAACACGAGAGUAACCUGCCCCCACCUUCUGGAUAACCGCAUGAAAGAGUUGCUAAUACGGGAUAUUUUGGGCCUCUCGCAUGAAGGGUGUGGGAAAGAUUUUGUUUCGGUUGUGGAUGGGCCCGCGCCCUAUCAGCUUGUUGGUGGGGUGAUGGCCUACCAAGGCGGUGACGGGUAGCCGGCCUGGGAGGGUGGACCGUCCCACAGCGGAUGAGCCGCGGCGCAGACUCCUGCGGGAGGCAGCAGGGGAGAUUACGGCACGAUGGGCGGCAGCCUGAUGCAGCGCCGCGGCGUGGAGGAUGGAGUCCUUCGGGUAGUGAGCUUCUUUCGGCAGUGAAGCAGUCCUGCCUCGUUUGUGGGUGGGUUGACGGUAGCUGGACAAGAAGCGCCGGCUAACUACGUG